ensembl:lncRNA
CUUAAAAAUCUGCAAUCCGUGCCUACCUUUGAUUUCUUCUUUGAGUGCCUGUUGGCUGCUAGGCAGUUCUCUUCUCCUUAAAUUCUUCCCAUUUAAUUUGAAUUUUAUACAUUCCCCCACAGCCUCCUGGAAAUUGUGAGGAUUUGGGCCGCUUUGAGCUCCCCCUCGGGAUGAGAGGACAACAUGCACUGGGCACAGUGGAGAGGAAGAAGCUGCUGGAUGGCCAAACUCCACAUGGCUCGGUUCCAGAGACACAAGGUCAAAACCUACAGUCUGAGACUGGAGGACUAAGAUUUUACCACGUACUGUGAGUGUUAAUACCUGAUGUCCACGUGCAGCUUCUUUACUCUGGUUGACAGAGAGCAGACAGCGCAUCCAGAUGGGCCCCAAGCAAACUUGCUGCCCAACAGCACUGAGACCACGUCUCCAACCCGUGGGUUUUUUCUCAGGCAUCCUGCAGAGAUGGAUACUGAAAGUUGAAAACAUGCUGUUUAAUACCUACAAUCAACAUUCCCCCUUCCUGAGUCCCAAUUA